GCCGGGAUAGCUCAGUUGGUAGAGCAGAGGACUGAAAAUCCUCGUGUCCGCGGUUCAAGCCCGCGUCCUGGCA
rnacentral:tRNA from 1 species